UGGUGCCGCGCGCCAAGCGGGCGCUUGGCUACCUGGGAGCGUGUGUGUUAGGGAUGUUGAGGGGGACCAAGCGAGCUCCUGGAGCUGAAGAAGAGGAGGGGAGUAGGGGCAGUUAGAAGGGUGGCCGAAGGGAAAUGAUGAGAAUGGAGGGGGAGAUAAAACUGAACACUACCAUUUUGGCUCUGUUCAACUUUCGUGGAAGCUGUGGUGGCAAACAUAAGAAAAUCAGGUUCAUCGGUGUUUGCAUGUAGCGAGGGCGGGGCGGAGCAAAAACGUAGAAAAGGCCUAUCAAGAGGCCAUCUUUCGUGCGGUUCCUCGUUAGUAUAGUGGUAAGCCUGAUUGCAAGCUUCAUUGUACCUGUUUCUUUCUGACUCAGAUUCCAGCUCAGCUUACAUUUUUCCCACUAAGUAGGCAGUGAUAUUUCAUCACAGCAGCCCCCAGCUCAGUACAAACAACAUAGUAGGUCCUCAAAAGAUUCAAAAGGAAUAAAAGGAGUGGAGAAAGGAAGGAACAAAAGAAGGAACGAUGGCAGAAUGAAAAGACGCACCAUGGAAGCUGAGGGUGCUGCUUAUCUAAGCGGGCGUGGCUUCCCAGAAC